ensembl:lncRNA
UCAAUUGAAAGAUGCUUCUUGCCAUUAUUUUGUGGUUCAUUGUCUUUUUAUUGUGUCACAUUGAGUAAAUCCAUCAAAUUACAUUCACUCAGGUAAAAUAUGAUUUAUUUUGCUGUGGUCCUGAAGAUAGAUGGUGGUGCGCCACUGCUGAAAAGCACUCUUUUAAUGAGGUUACAUUUGUUCCUGAAAAAAUUUUAUUCCUUAGAGCUGCAGGGUAUUCUUUCAGUAUUUUUUUUGCCAACCCAUAAAAAAAAAUAUUGUCAGUAAGUCGAAAUCAGUUGAAUUUUUUAUUAAGUUCUUUCCAUAAGGUAUAAAAUGCUUACACUUAUUAGUUAUAAAAUGUACUAGGUGUCCCAUAGUUUUUUUUACAGGAUGUGUGAGGCCCUCAUGUCUUCAAUCACUUCUGACUCCAUCUGGUAAACAUUUGACUGUUAAGUACAAACUUCAGCACAGCAUGUCAUUGGGACCCGGAGUUCUGGAGAUUUCUAAUAAUAUGGAAACAGGCAACAAAUAUUCAAGCCUCACUAAACUUCUCUCUCCAUCCUGUCUCCUUGGAAGCCAAGACAGAUUUGGCCAGACAUAUGAACUAAGGAGUUUCUCUGGUGCUUAGCUGGAGAGGAUGGCUCUGGGAAUCUGGGAACUUAUGGCUCUCUGUGGUUCAAAGCAUGUUUUGGCAUCUCUGGGCAUGGAACAUCUUCAAACCGUGUUAUUAUGUAACGGUUUUGGUCCAUUUGCUUGCUUCUCUGUGUGCUCAAUGUGUGUGGUGUGCCUUGACUUUAGCACACACUCUUAAUGCUUUGAACAUGUACUGUAGAAGAGUGCUGAUACAAAAAAAGCCACUGAUCUUGCUGGAAUGUUAGAAUAUUACAGGCACACACAUUAUUAUUUGAAAAGUAAACAUAAUUGUAAGUGACGUCGCAUUAGAUGCCUUGCAGCAUGAAAUAUUUACCAUAUCUAUUUUCUUAAUGCAUGCUAUUGAUUUUAUUCUUAAUGAUUCAACUGUGCAUAUUUCAUUUUUUG